UAGAGAGAACCUCCAUUUAGGAAUUGAGGCUGAACUUGACUGCUGUGGGAAGGUUAUGGCAGCAGCUCAGAGGCAGAUGGUAGGGGAAAUGUCUCCUAGGAAGUUCCCUGGCUUUCAAAGAUACAGCAGCUUUGCCAGACGAUGCGGGUGCAGAGGUGGGCCUCAGACAGCAACAAGGAGCCUUUAAAGGCAUAGAGGCUGGCCGGACGGGGCGGGCAGAGCAAAUGGCCUUGUAGGCAGCUGAAGCUCUCAGCAACCGUGAGGACAAAUGCCACCAAGCCCUCCUGGUUGCCAGGAGUGCUGCAGCCUUAACCGGGGUCUUUCCCCUCAGUCUCUUUGCCAUCACCGUGUGUCUUCUGGGACUGCACCGUGACCCACAGGUAAAUGACAGCCUGUCUCUCUACCUGGUUUUAGAACGGCCGGCAGCAGCUGCCGAGCUACACACUAUCUCAUCCGAGCUUCUUCAUUUCCUGUCUCUUGAGAUUCCGUACCUUUUCCCUAGCAUCAUCGGCCACCUAGCCAGAGAGCAACAAUUAAGCGCCAUGGAAAUGCUUCGAGGAGCCAGUCUCCAGGGUGAGGACCCCUAGAAAGUCCUCCAUUAAUUCCUGGUGCUGAAAGCAGAUAAUGGAAACUCAGUAGGAGAGCUUGGUGGCCUGGGGAGGGGGGGGCACCCAGCAAUUAUGAAUGCUUCCUUCUCCCUGCUUCUUCCUGCUCCUGCUGUCCCCUGACAAGCACUCCCUGCCAUCUGCCUUUUAACACCUCCAAGGCCACCACUGCCACUGCCCCCACCCGCCCAGCCACUCACUUCCCACCCAGGUCCUUUCAGAGGACGGCCUGCAUGGUUACCAUGGAGAGGGCCACCCCCCCACCUUUGGGGGCUCUGAGACCCUAGAAGGAAAGCACCAGGAAACCCCAAACCGUCUCCCUCCCGAAAACAAUGGCUUCCAGGGUCUGUGCCAGACACAGUCAGAGCACCCGAAAUAGACUCAUUGUCCUCUUGUGCAAUAUCCAGGAAUUUGGUGAAACUCAUCAUUUUUCAGGUUACCGAUAAUGCAAGUUUGGAAACUGAAACAGGAAGGAACACAGGCUGAAAAAGCUUUUAUCCAGCCCACAGCAUUUCUCUCUCCAGAUGCAAGACAGUUUUUUUUUUUUUUUUUCGGUUGUUGUUGUUUUUUUGUUUUUUUCCCAGCCGUACUUUGGUGGGGUUAAAAUUAGCUGGCAGCAUUCUGGUCACAUGCUAGACAGCAACACAAAAGGGAGUUGUUCCCUGGCAGCCCCUGAAGCAGACCUUCCUAAUCCACCGACUUCUGGGAAGCGGGCUCCUCAGGCCCCGGGACAGGGAUGCCACACCACCGGCUCCCCUCUGUCGUCAUCGUCAUCGGGCUGAACCUGGGAGUGUCUAGGCUGUUCGGAAUCUCAGAGCGUGCCUCCCUUUGGGAAGACACUCGAGGGCCCCCACAUGGCUUGUUCAAACUUCCCAUUUGGGAGAGGAAGGAAGGCUGAAAAAAGGAAGAACUUUUGAAGCUUUAAACCGUCACCAGAAGCCCUACAUGAAAAAUAGAGCCUCUGAUGCGUGCACACAGUCAGGAAACAUCCCUUGCGCUCAGUACAGAAACAUGUCGGUCAACCUGGGAAAGGAAUCACCACCACGAAAUAUGCUUUGGGCUUGCCAAAGCCCAGCAGCUGCAAGAGCCAAAAACUCAGCUGCCUGGAUUUUCUGGGGAAGGUGGGGGCUGAAGUUGGAGGGGGGGGGGGGGGCUGGAGGAGAAAGAGUCACCCGAUUUCUGCCUCCACCUCCUGUUUAAUUCCAAGCCAAAACCCAUCUCGAAAUGUCUCAAGGGCCAAUUGCUCCUCCAAAUUGCAUUCAACGCUACCCCUUCCAGUUCUGCGCCUGCUGGUGAGGUGAAGCAGAUGGCUUUUAUUGAUUAAUGUAUUUAUUUGGAAGAGGCCACUGGAAGUAAAGAAAUUCCAGUGAAACGGAAUGCCCUGGCCAGAACUGCCCUGACAAUAUAGCUGACAGCCAGAGAGAGGCAGGUUAAAAGACAUCACAGUUAAGCCCCCAGAACCUGGGGCAUUUUCUGUCUUUCUCCCGUCUGGCCUCCAUGUCAGCCGUGCACGUAUGAAGAAAUACCUCAUUUGGUUCAACCUUCUGUGGUAUUCAAAGGUUUGUGUGAGCUCUAGGGCCCGCUUUGUCAAAAGGGGUUCACAAACCAAACAGGCCUCUGACUUGGAUCUCAUCCUGCAGCCCUCAUUAUACACAGACCCAACAGAAAUUCCCACUGCCUUAACGCCCAGCACAUAAAGUCCUCUUUAAUAAACAUACACCAUUUUUCAGUGGAGCAGCCACAAGGUGUCAAAAGUACAUAAAGGUCUGAAAGCUGAAACCCUAGAUAAACAGCGCACCGAAAUAUAUUUAGCAGAAAAUAUUGAAAGCCACAGGAAAAAUAUGUUCUCUUCCUGGGAUGUUAACGAAGGUUUAGGUUCAGGAAACCUUCAGGAAAUAGCGAGUUGGGUUGAGAAGGAAUACUGCUCAAUGUAAAUAAAUCACUAAACCUCUUUGGCCUCCAUAGGCCUUGGCUGGAAUGGAGUAUUUCAUUUUUCCCCCAUUAAACAGGCCACCCGGAGAGUUGGCAUUACAGACCUGAA